rnacentral:rRNA from 1 species
AGAGUUUGAUCCUGGCUCAGAUUGAACGCUGGCGGCAGGCCUAACACAUGCAAGUCGAGCGGAUGAGUGGAGCUUGCUCCAUGAUUCAGCGGCGGACGGGUGAGUAAUGCCUAGGAAUCUGCCUGGUAGUGGGGGACAACGUUUCGAAAGGAACGCUAAUACCGCAUACGUCCUACGGGAGAAAGUGGGGGAUCUUCGGACCUCACGCUAUCAGAUGAGCCUAGGUCGGAUUAGCUAGUUGGUGAGGUAAAGGCUCACCAAGGCGACGAUCCGUAACUGGUCUGAGAGGAUGAUCAGUCACACUGGAACUGAGACACGGUCCAGACUCCUACGGGAGGCAGCAGUGGGGAAUAUUGGACAAUGGGCGAAAGCCUGAUCCAGCCAUGCCGCGUGUGUGAAGAAGGUCUUCGGAUUGUAAAGCACUUUAAGUUGGGAGGAAGGGCAGUAAGUUAAUACCUUGCUGUUUGACGUUACCAACAGAAUAAGCACCGGCUAACUUCGUGCCAGCAGCCGCGGU